UUCAUGGUAGUUUACUUUCACACCUCAUGGCAGACAGGAAUGCGUAAUUUUUUUCUUGCACGGUGAUGUAUAAGAUAAAGCCUUUAUUAUCUGUGUUAAACUCCUGCAGAUGGUGUUGGCUAAUCAUUCACAGGAAGUCUGAUCCAUUCCAGAUGUGCCAGCUGUCGGUUGCAGAAAAGACUUUUUAUUCAUUUGAGUGAUGAAAUGAACAAAGGAAAGAAAGAUAUUAUCUUAAGAUAUCAGAGAAGAUGGUUGAUCUCACAGGUAGGUGCUUUUACUUCCUGAUCGGCUGCUGGGAAUGACUGCAGCACACAAACCGGUUCUGCUGGUUGAAGCUCGGACUACAAGAAUGUAAACCUGACAGUGACACUGAUCUUCAUCCACAGAUGAUGCGGCUCUCUCGGCUCUGGAGUCCAGCCUGCACAAAGAAGUCAAGGCUCUUCUCAAAGGGAUGAGCAGCCGAGGUGCAUCCCAGAAAGAUCCAUAAAACAAGAUCCCACAUGCAUAUCAUCCCAAUACUGCACACUCUCUACUAUACCGUUAUUCAGUCAGGUUCCAUGAUUCCUAUCAGCGUUUACCAGAGAGUGUACGAGUGUUUGAUGAAGCUGCUCAUGUUACCACAGCCUCACUCUGCUGUGGCCCUCAGCACUCUGCGGAGCAUCAAGAUGGAAAUGACCA